CACUGGACACUGUGUACAUAUGUCAGGUGACAGUGUUCACAGAAACUGGAAGUCAACACAGUGAAUCAGCUCCUUUAUGCUGGAAGGGCUUGGUAAACUUAUGAGUCCGUGUGAGCGACCUGGAUUUGUUUCUAUAACUCAACAAGAUUCUAGGCUGCGAGGAUCCAGGCUCCAUUAAUGGGGUGUUCCAAGGGCUACAGGGUUCUGACCGUGAAGUUAGUCUUUCUGGUUUUGCGUAACGGCAGCAAAGAGAACACUUCUACCUAUGUCUGCAUCGGUGAACAGAUGGGUUUGUUGGGAUUACUUAUAGGAGCACCAUUAAGAGGUUGUCUCCAGCCAACCACGUCAACACCCCUUCCCUGAAGCUGCAGAAACUCUCCUGUUAGGAGUGUUCACCUUCUCUGUGCCCCAGCACCUCCAGACACCACAUGCAUCUGGAGAAGAACUGCAGACAGCUGGACAAGGUUGGCGACGGGGGCAGCUGGACUCCCAGGUGAGGCUCUAAUGACCCUCCCGAGUCCUCCCGCACAAGAAAGUCUACAGGCUGGGCCGUGUGGAGGCCCCUGCUGUCGUCACAGCUGCUCUGGGGAAGAUGGUGACGGCCGUGCUCCUCACCAGUGCUCAGGUCCUCAGUCCUCUCGCCUUUAGAAGACGUUGUUCUGUCUGCCGCAGAGGAAGAGAAAGAGGUCCUGGCCCGACUUCCACUUUACCCACCCAGCCAUCUCCCUGAAGUUUUAAUUAAUGUGAUUGUAACCAGUUGCCCUCAAUGAAAGUGUUUGGGAUUCUGGUUUCUCAGAAAUAAAAAGGGAUCAUUUCAGUCCCAUAAAAUAUUAUAAACUCUUUGAAAGUCCCUCUAUUGGUCUGCUCCCGUUAGAAUUUUGUAAUUUAAUUCCUUACAUUCUUGUGGUGUUCCCCAAUGUCACAAAGAUUAAUGUAUACAUGAACUGCCAGUGUGCGACAGAAAGUCUUUGCAAUUCUUUUCUUUUGAAAUUGUCAGUAGCUACAUAAAUAAACAGAAAUAUUGCUCUUGGA